rnacentral:snRNA from 1 species
GGCUUUGUGCAGUGGCAGUAUCGCAGCCAAUGAGGUUUUUUGGAGGCGCGAUUACUGCUAAUUGAAACCGACAAAUG